rnacentral:rRNA from 1 species
AUUGAACGCUGGCGGAAUGCUUUACACAUGCAAGUCGAGCGGCAGCACGGGGGCAACCCUGGUGGCGAGCGGCGAACGGGUGAGUAAUACAUCGGAACAUGCCCAGUCGUGGGGGAUAACACUUCGAAAGAAGUGCUAAUACCGCAUACGUCCUGAGGGAGAAAGCGGGGGAUCGCAAGACCUCGCGCGAUUGGAGUGGCCGAUGUCAGAUUAGCUAGUUGGUGGGGUAAAGGCCCACCAAGGCAACGAUCUGUAGCUGGUCUGAGAGGAUGAUCAGCCACACUGGGACUGAGACACGGCCCAGACUCCUACGGGAGGCAGCAGUGGGGAAUUUUGGACAAUGGGGGCAACCCUGAUCCAGCCAUUCCGCGUGAGUGAAGAAGGCCUUCGGGUUGUAAAGCUCUUUCGGCAGGAACGAAACGGCGAGCUCUAACAUAGCUUGCUAAUGACGGUACCUGAAGAAGAAGCACCGGCUAACUACGUG